rnacentral:rRNA from 1 species
UGGGGAAUUUUGGACAAUGGGGGCAACCCUGAUCCAGCAAUGCCGCGUGAGUGAAGAAGGCCUUCGGGUUGUAAAGCUCUUUUGUCCGGGAAGAAAUCCCACCUGUUAAUACCGGGUGGGGAUGACGGUACUGGAAGAAUAAGCACCGGCUAACUACGUGCCAGCAGCCGCGGUAAUACGUAGGGUGCGAGCGUUAAUCGGAAUUACUGGGCGUAAAGCGUGCGCAGGCGGUUGUGCAAGACCGAUGUGAAAUCCCCGGGCUUAACCUGGGAACUGCAUUGGUGACUGCACGGCUAGAGUGUGUCAGAGGGGGGUAGAAUUCCACGUGUAGCAGUGAAAUGCGUAGAGAUGUGGAGGAAUACCGAUGGCGAAGGCAGCCCCCUGGGAUAACACUGACGCUCAUGCACGAAAGCGUGGGGAGCAAACAGGAUUAGAUACCCUAGUAGUCCACGCCCUAAACGAUGUCAACUAGUUGUCGGGUCUUAAUUGACUUGGUAACGCAGCUAACGCGUGAGGUUGACCGCCUGGGGAGUACGGUCGCAAGAUUAAAA